GUCAUAGUAGUACGAUAGGUGUUGUUGUACAGGGUCAGUCAUAGUAGUACGAUAGGUGUUGUUGUACAGGGUCAGUCAUAGUAGUACGAUAGGUGUUGUUUUACAGGGUCAGUCAUAGUAGUAUGAUAGGUGUUGUUUUACAGGGUCAGUCACAGUAGUAUGAUAGGUGUUGUUUUACAGGGUCAGUCAUAGUAGUAUGAUAGGUGUUGUUUUACAGGGUCAGUCAUAGUAGUAUGAUAGGUGUUGUUUUACAGGGUCAGUCACAGUAGUAUGAUAGGUGUUGUUUUACAGGGUCAGCCAUAGUAGUAUGAUAGGUGUUGUUUUACAGGGUCAGUCAUAGUAGUAUGAUAGGUGUUGUUUUACAGGGUCAGUCAGUAGUAUGAUAGGUGUUGUUUUACAGGGUCAGUCAUAGUAGUAUGAUAGGUGUUGUUUUACAGGGUCAGUCACAGUAGUAUGAUAGGUGUUGUUUUACAGGGUCAGUCAUAGUAGUAUGAUAGGUGUUGUUUUACAGGGUCAGUCACAGUAGUAUGAUAGGUGUUGUUUUACAGGGUCAGUCAUAGUAGUAUGAUAGGUGUUGUUUUACAGGGUCAGUCAUAGUAGUAUGAUAGGUGUUGUUUUACAGGGUCAGUCAUAGUAGUAUGAUAGGUGUUGUUGUACAGGGUCAGUCAUAGUAGUAUGAUAGGUGUUGUUUUACAGGGUCAGUCAUAGUAGUAUGAUAGGUGUUGUUGUACAGGGUCAGUCAUAGUAGUAUGAUAGGUGUUGUUGUACAGGGUCAGUCAUAGUAGUAUGAUAGGUGUUGUUUUACAGGGUCAGUCAUAGUAGUAUGAUAGGUGUUG